UCAUAAACAGCUACCUGCUUUCUUGGUC
rnacentral:piRNA from 1 species